GUUUCAAAACUUGCAUAAACAACUUGCAGUUUACAAGUUGAAAGUUUCAGAAUUUGGAGUUUUAUGAUAAAGAAGCGAUAACCAAAAGAACAAGACUUCUUCCUAAGCAUCAUGAUAGAUUACAAAUAUGUAAGUAGCUACUAGUAAUCUUCUUCAAUCCAAGGAUCCAAAUCAAGUCAUCAUGAGUUCCUCCACAACCGAAGUUCCACCGCUUCAAACCAUGGACACCGAAGAAGAUGAUGACUUUAAAACACAGACAGUAGAAGUUUUUGCCUCAUGUUGUUCAAUCUGGGAUUGCUCGGGAUGUGAAGGAUGUUGCACUUGUCUAUCAGAAUGUUGUGCAAUGGCUGUCGUAUGUUUGCAAGUUUGUGGUUCAUGCUAGGAUUUUAUUAUGACCUCAUCUCAUGUUUCUUCUCCAAUGUUCCCCGNCUUUUUUUUUUUUUUUUUUUUUUUUGCUAAAUAUGUUCCCCGUUUGUUGUUUCCAUUGUCAAAUGUUUUUUUUUUGUAAUACAAUAACAAUAAUGUAUAUUGAGUAUCCUAAUUUUAAAUAAGAAUCGGUCCAACCGAACCAAAA